AUGGUUCCCAAUGGAAUUUCGCUUAUGAAUCGAAAUGCAAAUCGCAACAUACAUUGUGUAAAAACCAAUAAGUCACCAUGUGACUUAUUGUUGUGGGUACAUUUUGGUACAACCGACAUAGUGAGUUCCUUAUACAUAAGGAUUACUCCUACAAUGAUGGAUACCCAUGCAUGCUUGUCAUACACAGGGAUUACUCCUGCAAUGAUGAAGCACAUGAUCAUCUUAAUGACGGAUUUUGAGAUGAAGGAUUGGGUAAAACCUCGAGCACCUUCACUCAUACAUUAUGGUACACUAUAUUGUCUAUAUCCAAAAUAUAUUGGAGAAAUUCAUUGUGGACAAAUCUUAUGCAUCCGUAACUCGCAUGGUCAUGUUCUCUAG
rnacentral:rRNA from 1 species